rnacentral:rRNA from 1 species
CACAAGCGGUGGAGCAUGUGGUUUAAUUUCGAUGCAACGCGAAGAACCUUACCGUGGGCUUUGACAUCCCGGGAACUCCCUUGGAAACAAGGGAGUGCCGUUCGGGAACCUGGAGACAGGUGCUGCAUGGCUGUCGUCAGCUCGUGUCGUGAGGUGUUAGGUUAAGUCCUGCAACGAGCGCAACUCUCGUCGCUAGUUAAUUUCUCUAGCGAUACUGCCCGUAAAACGUGGAGGAAGGUGGGGAUGACGUCAAGUCAGCAUGGCCUUUAUGUCUUGGGCUACACACACGCUACAAUGGAUGGUACAAAGGGUUGCCAAAGAGCGAUCUGGAGCUAAUCCCAAAAAACCAUCCUCAGUUCAGAUUGCAGGCUGCAAUGCCUGCAUGAAGUUGGAGUUGCUAGUAACCGCAGGUCAGCACACUGCGGUGAAUACGUUCUCGGGCCUU